UUGUAAUCGGAUUGCUUUAAUGGUGAUUUUCCUGACUUACAGCAGUACUGUUGAGACUAGAGUCUUAUAUACUCCAGAGGUAUAUAAGAACACCUGCACAAUUUUAAGCAGCCUGAAACAAUAGGACAUUACAUUUGUUUAAGUUUCCAAGUGAUUUGUGUUUUACAGCUACAAUACUUGUUUCUUCAUCUUAUAUAGUAUUGUGCAACACUCAGAAACAGACAAUCAGAAACAGUAUUUCCAAGGGAUUAUUUAAUGAAGAAUGACUUGGAUCACUCUAUAAACUGUAAACAAUUUGUACAAGCUCAGUACUGAAUCAAUCCCAGGACAAAACAUUGCUCAACUGUUUUAUAAUCCACCUUGAGAUUUUGUAAAAUUAAGAGCGAGAAAGAAAAGAAACACAGUCCCAGGUACAGCGAAUGGACAAAGAAACCCAGUGUGGGAAGGCUUUCCAUGGAAAGAUGCAAAAGGAAGAGGUAAGGAAAGAAAAUGGGAUAAGGUCAAGUCCUUGAGAAAUUCCAGUUGCUGCUCAUGAGGAUUUAUGAACACCUUGCCUGUGUCCAAAAGAGAAGCCAAUGGCUGCCACAGUUAGCAGCAAACCUGAGAACCGAGUCUGCAAACCCUUAUUUAGGUAAGUAAUACUUAACACUUGUUAAAGAUCUCUUAGGGGCUAAGGGGUCUUCUUGGAAAAGGAGGACUGUGGCAGAGAGAAAAAUUUCCUCUCAAAGGGCAAAUGAAGACUCUCCAGGCUGAGUAACUCCUCUCCUUUAUCAAACUUUUACCUCUACAACAAGGACUUCUGUCCUCAUACAUAAAGUACCUUCAUUUAGAGUCACAGAGGUACUGAUGUCCCCACAAACGCUGCCAGCCCCCAGCAUCUAGCAUUCCUGUCAAAUCAAUCAGGCUUUUUAGCAGAAUAGGCCCAAAUUCCUUCUCCUUAAUCCCAAAUCCACCCACUUCUGCCCCUUCAACUCCUUUUCCAUCUCUUACAUCAAGUAGGGGUUUCUAAGCCUCAGAAAUAAUUCAUUUUAGGUGGCAUAUGUUUUCAGUGAUUCAGUCUUCAAUGCCUACCCAAACUAAGUAUGAUUCAGGAAUUUGGGACUGGCUUCAGUAGGACCUGCAUCUGAAUUAAGUGCCCAGAACUGGGAAAAAAAGAGCAAUUCUGAACUACUAUGCUUCUACAAACAAAAGAAGCAAGAAGUGUAAUUGAAGAGGUAGGGAGGAGGGCAAUUUGUGGAAUAUAACAAAGACCAAGGGCCUGAUUAUCCAUUGCCUGCAUUUUGUACCACAUUAAAUCACAGGUGUGAUAAAAUGCUUCCAGCAAGCUAUGCUUGAUUGUAAGGCAUUAAUCAAGGUCACAUGCAAUCAGAGCCUAGACACCUGGGUGAAUGUUCAUUACAAACAGUCAAAAUAAUACUCAGGUUGUAAUAGAUGCAACAGUAAGCCCAGAAUGGGGUGGUACAGCAUGUAGUACAGGGUGGCCAGCUGGUACUACCGCAACAGAACAGAACAUCUAAAAUAGAUUUUUCU
rnacentral:lncRNA from 1 species